AACCAAUGGGAGCUUGCUCCCUGAGGUUAGCGGCGGACGGGUGAGUAACACGUGGGUAACCUGCCUGUAAGAUUGGGAUAACUCCGGGAAACCGGAGCUAAUACCGGAUAACAUUUUGAACCGCAUGGUUCAAAAUUGAAAGAUGGUUUCGGCUGUCACUUACAGAUGGACCCGCGGCGCAUUAGCUAGUUGGUGAGGUAACGGCUCACCAAGGCGACGAUGCGUAGCCGACCUGAGAGGGUGAUCGGCCACACUGGGACUGAGACACGGCCCAGACUCCUACGGGAGGCAGCAGUAGGGAAUCUUCCGCAAUGGACGAAAGUCUGACGGAGCAACGCCGCGUGAACGAUGAAGGCCUUCGGGUCGUAAAGUUCUGUUGUUAGGGAAGAACAAGUACCAGAGUAACUGCUGGUACCUUGACGGUACCUAACCAGAAAGCCAC
rnacentral:rRNA from 1 species